rnacentral:rRNA from 1 species
AUUGAACGCUGGCGGCAUGCUUUACACAUGCAAGUCGAACGGCAGCAUGGGUGCUUGCACCUGAUGGCGAGUGGCGAACGGGUGAGUAAUGUAUCGGAACAUAUCCGCAAGUGGGGGAUAACGUAGCGAAAGUUACGCUAAUACCGCAUAUUCCCUGAGGGGGAAGGGAGGGGAUCCGCAAGGACCUUUCGCUUACGAAGUGGCCGAUAUCAGAUUGGCUAGUUGGUGGGGUAAAGGCCUACCAAGGCGACGACCUGCAGCGGGUCUGAGAGGAUGAUCCGCCACACUGGGACUGAGACACGGCCCAGACUCCUACGGGAGGCAGCAGUGGGGAAUUUUGGACAAUGGGGGCAACCCUGAUCCAGCCAUGCCGCGUGAGUGAAGAAGGCCUUCGGGUUGUAAAGCUCUUUCAGCUGGAAAAAAAUCGCAUCACCUAAUACGUGGUGUGGAUGAUGGUACCAGCAGAAGAAGCACCGGCUAACUACGUGCCAGCAGCCGCGGUAAAAC